UGGUUGAAAGCAGCAGUCUUUUAAAAGCAGCAGCAACAAUAAUAUUUCGUAUCUUCAGCAGGAGAAGAGCAGGCAGGCUGAGGAGGUAGCCACGAGUGUCUAGCGGCCCCGAGAAAGUGCAUCUGUGAGAGAAGAUGCAGACACUUGGGUACAAGGAAGCUACCUACAUUGGACACUUGUCCCCCGUCUCCAUGCCCCGACCCAGUCACUUUUUGCAACACACAGAAGCAGUGUUUUGAUAUUAAGGUUGCAUUGGGAGAGGCAGGGGUGUCGACAAAAACAAGGUUGUAAUUUCAACUCUUUCUUGGGGGUGGCAGGCAUAAAUUUCACCAAGCAGGUGUAGAGAGGUCUGGGAAAAUACCCAAGACUGAUGCCACUUCCCUUAGACUGGAAGCAACACCCCACCCCCAACCUUUGCAAACUGUCCCAACCCCUCUUCCGGAGUCAGGGUGUGCGAAUGCUGCAGCUCGCAAUGAACUUUGUCUAUUAUGCACUGGACUCCUACUUGAGAUGUCGCGCUGCAGCCGCGCGCGCUCCCUCUCUUCCUUCGGCAUCCACGUCUUCCGCCCCACAUCUAUUUCAUGUCUCAUCAUAAAAAUAAUGAUGCCUCCCAUGAUUUAAACAAAAACAAACGAACACAAAACCGUCUCUGCAGACCUGCAGCCCGGUGAAAGUUGCAGAUGGUUCGCGAGCAGCUUUACUUUAUGCUUCAUUGAGAGAGGAUGGGGAAGAAGAAGAAGAAGAAGAAAAAAAAAAAACACCCAACAUCCGCACACGCACGCGCGCACCAGCAGACACACACAGCACAAAUAAGCCGACGCGUGUGUACACAGUCUCUCACUUACCUUCUCAAUUAAGCAAUACAGGGGAGGGUGUUCAGUGAGCACAGCGGCUGCUUGGUAGCGCUUCUCCUUGGGAAAGGUCAAAAAGAAACAUUGUUUGAAAAAAAACGGGGGGGUAGAAUCUCUAUUUUUUUUUUAAGUUUAAAAUAAUGAGGUCCUCCAGGAUCCGCCAAGUACCAGUGUGGACCGCAUGCGAGCCACAGGUGUCCUUCUUUUAGGCAACUGCAGUCCGGGGGAUGUCUCUCUUGGUCCUGGCUCCUGACAACUUACCCCAGCAGCGUGCGAGGAGCCCGAGCUGAAGGAAGCCCUGGCUCUCAGCCGCAAAAUGCAAUCCCUUCCCAGCCAGACAUAAUACAGCCCAAGAAAAGGUCACCCAGUUAUUACAGCGCCUUGGAGCCCAGGCAGCGCCUGUCAGAACCACAGUGGAGGCAGCUCCCUUCCGAUUUAAGAGUAUUUACCUCUCGCCCCCACCCCUCCCUCUUCUCUCUCUUCCUUCUCUCCCUCCCUCUAGCUGGCUCCCUCGCUCGCUAGAGCGCUCUCUCUCUCUCUCUCUCUCUCUCUCUCUCUCUCUCUCUCUCUCUCUCUCUCUCUCUCUCUCUCUGCUGUCUGUUCUGCAGCUCAGUCAAAUACAGCCGCCCUCGGAAAGUGCAAAAGCAGCCACGAGACAGAUCCAGGCUUUGUUGCUAAUUUCCCAGGGUGAAAAUUGACAAGCCUGGAGUGCAGUCAGCACAACCCAGUGCAUAUGCUCCUGACAAACGCUGGGGACAUCCCCUCCCACCCACCCCCAUCACACAGAGAACGUGACCUCUGCAGGACUGGACUCUGGGAAGGACCCUACCUCCAGGACUCGCCCACAAGAAGAACUGUGAAAGAGCUCCGGAGAAGGAUGAAAACUUUAAGGAACAAUGAAGGAGAGAGGUGCCGCUCUGAACCGGACUAAGGUGCAGAACUGGAGUGAGUUGUUGUCCCCCAACCCCCGAAUUGGAACACUGCACUGAAUAAAAGCUUAAGACACAAA